rnacentral:rRNA from 1 species
UCGGGAAUUUUGGGCAAUGGGCGAAAGCCUGACCCAGCAGCGCCGCGUGAGGGAUGAAGUAUUUCGGUAUGUAAACCUCGAAAGAAUGGGAAGAAUAAAUGACGGUACCAUUUAUAAGCUCCGGCUAACUACGUGCCAGCAGCCGCGGUAAUACGUAGGGAGCAAGCGUUGUUCGGAUUUACUGGGCGUAAAGGGCGCGUAGGCGGCGCGGUAAGUCACUUGUGAAAUCUCUGAGCUUAACUCAGAACGGCCAAGUGAUACUGCUGUGCUAGAGUGCGGAAGAGGCAACCGGAAUUCUUGGUGUAGCGGUGAAAUGCGUAGAUACCAAGAGGAACACCUGAGGCGAAGGCGGGUUGCUGGGCCGACACUGACGCUGAUGCGCGAAAGCCAGGGGAGCAAACG